GUAGUUGGUGAGGUAAAGGCUCACCAAGCCCACGAUCGUUAACUGGUCUGAGAGGAUGAUCAGUCAGACUGGAACUGAGAUACGGUCCAGACUCCUACGGGAGGCAGCAGUGAGGAAUCUUCCACAAUGGGCGAAAGCCUGAUGGAGCGACGCCGCGUGCAGGAUGAAGGCCUUCGUGUUGUAAACUGCUUUUAUAAGUGAAGAAUAUGACGGUAACUUAUGAAUAAGCACCGGCUAACUACGUGCCAGCAGCCGCGGUCAUACGUAGGGUGCAAGCAUUAUCCGGAGUGACUGGGCGUAAAGAGUUGCGUAGGUGGACAAGUAAGCGAAUAGUGAAAUGUGGCGGCUCAACCGUACACACUAUUGUUCGAGCUGCUCAUCUCGAGAAUGGUAGAGGUAACUGGAAUUUCUAGUGUAGGAGUGAAAUCCGUAGAUAUUAGAAGGAACACCAAUGGCGUAGGCAGGUUACUGGACCAUUUCUGACACUAAGGCACGAAAGCGUGGGGAGCGAACCGGAUUAGAUACCCGGGUAGUCCACGCCGUAAACUAUGGAUACUAGCUGUUGGAGGUAUCGACCCCUUCAGUAGCGAAGCUAACGCGUUAAGUAUCCCGCCUGUGGAGUACGGUCGCAAGACUAAAACUCAAAGGAAUUGACG
rnacentral:rRNA from 1 species